rnacentral:rRNA from 1 species
UUACGGCCACAUCACGUCGAAACACCGGUUCCCGUACGAUCACCGAAGUUAAGCAACGUCGAUCCUGGUCAGUACCUAGAUGAGUGACCGCUUGAGAAUACAAUGUGCUGUAAG